GCAGGUGGGCGUGCAAGUCGGAAGUGAAAUCCCUGGGCUUAACCCAGGAACUGCCCUCAAAACGGGAAGGCUAGAGUCCGAGAGAGGUGAGUGGAAUUUCCAGUGUAGAGGUGAAAUUCGUAGAUAUUGGAAAGAACACCAGUGGCGAAGGCGGCUCACUGGCUCGGUACUGACGCUGAGGUGCGACAGCGUGGGGAGCAAACA
rnacentral:rRNA from 1 species